AACAUCAGUAGUGGUUAAUACUAUCUAAAGAUAAUAUUAAUUACCAAAUUUUUUAUAGAAACCUUAAAAUUCUUCUGGUUUUGGUUUACGAUUUCUUUCUAUUUGCUUUUGGCUACGGCUGCAAGUCUAAUUAAAAGGAUGAAGUUAAUACUGGAUCAAAAUUGAAGAAUAAAAUUUACAAACCCAUAUAGCUGAAUGAAUUUUGACCACUUCCAAACAAGGUGGGCACAAUUUUCAUUUCGUUUCCGGUUUCUUAGAUCAAAGAGGGUAUGGGCAACCAUACUUUCGAUUCAUUU